UACGAAGGGGGCUAGCGUUGCUCGGAAUCACUGGGCGUAAAGCGCACGUAGGCGGAUUGCUAAGUCAGGGGUGAAAUCCUGGAGCUCAACUCCAGAACUGCCUUUGAUACUGGCGAUCUCGAGUCCGGGAGAGGUGAGUGGAACUGCGAGUGUAGAGGUGAAAUUCGUAGAUAUUCGGAAGAACACCAGUGGCGAAGGCGGCUCACUGGCCCGGUACUGACGCUGAGGUGCGAAAGCGUGGGGAGCAAACAGG
rnacentral:rRNA from 1 species